rnacentral:tRNA from 1 species
GGAUCUUUAGCUCAGUUGGUCAGAGCAGGCGGCUCAUAACCGCCCGGCCCUCGGUUCGAGCCCGAGAAGAUCCA